GACGAACGCUGGCGGCAUGCCUAACACAUGCAAGUCGAACGGAGAAUCGCUUCGGUGAUUCUUAGUGGCGAACGGGUGAGUAACGCGUAGGCAACCUGCCCUUUGGAUGGGGACAACAUUCCCGAAAGGAGUGCUAAUACCGAAUGUGACGAUUUUACCGCAUGGUUUAANCGUGAAAGAUGGCCUCUACAUGUAAGCUAUCGCCAAAGGAUGGGCCUGCGUCUGAUUAGCUAGUUGGUGGGUAACGGCUCACCAAGGCGACGAUCAGUAGCCGGUCUGAGAGGAUGAACGGCCACAUUGGGACUGAGACAGGCCCAGACUCCUACGGGAGGCAGCAGU
rnacentral:rRNA from 1 species